rnacentral:rRNA from 2 species
GUGAGUAACCUGCCCCUGGCUUUGGGAUAACCAUCGGAAACGGUGGCUAAUACCGAAUAUUCACUUUCUGCCGCAUGGUGGUUUGUGGAAAGUUUUUCGGCUGGGGAUGGGCUCGCGGCCUAUCAGCUUGUUGGUGGGGUGAUGGCCUACCAAGGCUUUGACGGGUAGCCGGCCUGAGAGGGCGACCGGCCACACUGGGACUGAGACACGGCCCAGACUCCUACGGGAGGCAGCAGUGGGGAAUAUUGCACAAUGGGCGGAAGCCUGAUGCAGCGACGCCGCGUGAGGGAUGACGGCCUUCGGGUUGUAAACCUCUUUCAGCAGGGACGAAGCGAAAGUGACGGUACCUGCAGAAGAAGCGCCGGCCAACUACGUGCCAGCAGCCGCGGUAAGACGUAGGGCGCGAGCGUUGUCCGGAUUUAUUGGGCGUAAAGAGCUCGUAGGCGGCUUGUUGCGUCGUCCGUGAAAACCUGGGGCUCAACUCCAGGCUUGCGGUCGAUACGGGCAGGCUAGAGUUCGGUAGGGGAGACUGGAAUUCCUGGUGUAGCGGUGAAAUGCGCAGAUAUCAGGAGGAACACCGGUGGCGAAGGCGGGUCUCUGGGCCGAUACUGACGCUGAGGAGCGAAAGCGUGGGGAGCGAACAGGAUUAGAUACCCUGGUAGUCCACGCUGUAAACGUUGGGCGCUAGGUGU